rnacentral:rRNA from 1 species
UACGUAGGGGGCUAGCGUUGUCCGGAAUCAUUGGGCGUAAAGCGCGCGUAGGCGGCCCGGUAAGUCCGUUGUGAAAGUCAAAGGCUCAACCUUUGAAUGCCGAUGGAUACUGCCGGGCUCGAGUCCGGAAGAGGCGAGUGGAAUUCCUGGUGUAGCGGUGAAAUGCGCAGAUAUCAGGAAGAACACCAACGGCGAAGGCAGCUCGCUGGGACGGUACUGACGCUGAGACGCGAAAGCGUGGGGAGCGAACGG